AGGAGCAUUGUUAAAAUACUUUGGAGGCACAGAAUCAGCCCAGAGCCAGUCCACAUCCUCAGGCUCAACUGUGAGUGAUGAAUCAGGUCCAUCUCCAUCCUCUACAGUGCUCUCUCACACACCUCCAUCCUCUGUGCCCACUGUCCCCUCCAUGUCUGAAACCACAGCUGAUUUAUCUACAACUUCCACCACAACGUCCCCUUCACACCAUGGACCAUCAUCAGCUCUGCCAGUUGACCCAGCUGAGUGGCAUUCUUUCCUCUCAGAUUCAGACAGG